UUUGGUUAAGUUAGAAAGGGCGCACGGUGGAUGCCUUGACACUAGGAGUCGAUGAAGGACGGGACUAACGCCGAUAUGCUUCGGGGAGCUGUAAGUAAGCUUUGAUCCGAAGAUUUCCGAAUGGGGAAACCCACUAUACGUAAUGGUAUGGUAUCCUUACCUGAAUACAUAGGGUAUGGAAGACAGACCCAGGGAACUGAAACAUCUAAGUACCUGGAGGAAGAGAAAGCAAAUGCGAUUUCCUGAGUAGCGGCGAGCGAAACGGAACAUAGCCCAAACCAAGAGGCUUGCCUCUUGGGGUUGUAGGACAUUCUAUACGGAGUUACAAAGGAACGAGGUAGACGAAGCGACCUGGAAAGGUCCGUCGUAGAGGGUAACAACCCCGUAGUCGAAACUUCGUUCUCUCUUGAAUGUAUCCUGAGUACGGCGGAACACGUGAAAUUCCGUCGGAAUCUGGGAGGACCAUCUCCCAAGGCUAAAUACUCCCUAGUGAUCGAUAGUGAACCAGUACCGUGAGGGAAAGGUGAAAAGCACCCCGGAAGGGGAGUGAAAGAGAUCCUGAAACCGUGUGCCUACAAAUAGUCAAAGCCCGUUAAUGGGUGAUGGCGUGCCUUUUGUAGAAUGAACCGGCGAGUUACGAUCCCGUGCGAGGUUAAGCUGAAGAGGCGGAGCCGCAGCGAAAGCGAGUCUGAAUAGGGCGUUUAGUACGUGGUCGUAGACCCGAAACCAGGUGAUCUACCCAUGUCCAGGGUGAAGUUCAGGUAACACUGAAUGGAGGCCCGAACCCACGCACGUUGAAAAGUGCGGGGAUGAGGUGUGGAUAGCGGAGAAAUUCCAAUCGAACCUGGAGAUAGCUGGUUCUCCCCGAAAUAGCUUUAGGGCUAGCCUUAAGUGUAAGAGUCUUGGAGGUAGAGCACUGAUUGAACUAGGGGUCCUCAUCGGAUUACCGAAUUCAGUCAAACUCCGAAUGCCAAUGACU
rnacentral:rRNA from 1 species